AAUGAACGCUGGCGGCAGGCCUAACACAUGCAAGUCGAACGGAUCCUUCGGGAUUAGUGGCGGACGGGUGAGUAACGCGUGGGAACAUACCCUUUGGUACGGAAUAGCCUCGGGAAACUGGGAGUAAUACCGUAUGUGGUCGAGAGACGAAAGAUUUAUCGCCAAAGGAUUGGCCCGCGUUGGAUUAGGUAGUUGGUGGGGUAAUGGCCUACCAAGCCGACGAUCCAUAGCUGGUUGGAGAGGAUGAUAAGCCACACUGGGACUGAGACACGGACCAGACUCCUACGGGAGGCAGCAGUGGGGAAUCUUAGACAAUGGGGGAAACCCUGAUCUAGCCAUGCCGCGUGAUCGAUGAAGGCCUUAGGGUUGUAAAGAUCUUUCAGGUGGGAAGAUAAUGACUGUACCACCAGAAGAAGCCCCGGCUAACUCCGUGCCAGCAGCCGCAGUAA
rnacentral:rRNA from 1 species